GGGUUGUGAGGUUAAGCGACUAAGCGUACACGGUGGAUGCCCUGGCAGUCAGAGGCGAUGAAGGACGUGCUAAUCUGCGAUAAGCGUCGGUGAGGUGAUAUGAACCGUUAUAACCGGCGAUUUCCGAAUGGGGAAACCCAGUGUGUUUCGACACACUAUCAUUAACUGAAUCCAUAGGUUAAUGAGGCGAACCGGGGGAACUGAAACAUCUAAGUACCCCGAGGAAAAGAAAUCAACCGAGAUUCCCCCAGUAGCGGCGAGCGAACGGGGAGCAGCCCAGAGCCUGAAUCAGUGUGUGUGUUAGUGGAAGCGUCUGGAAAGGCGCGCGAUACAGGGUGACAGCCCCGUACACAAAAAUGCACAUACUGUGAGCUCGAUGAGUAGGGCGGGACACGUGGUAUCCUGUCUGAAUAUGGGGGGACCAUCCUCCAAGGCUAAAUACUCCUGACUGACCGAUAGUGAACCAGUACCGUGAGGGAAAGGCGAAAAGAACCCCGGCGAGGGGAGUGAAAAAGAACCUGAAACCGUGUACGUACAAGCAGUGGGAGCCUCUUAAUGGGGUGACUGCGUACCUUUUGUAUAAUGGGUCAGCGACUUAUAUUCUGUAGCAAGGUUAACCGAAUAGGGGAGCCGAAGGGAAACCGAGUCUUAACUGGGCGUUAAGUUGCAGGGUAUAGACCCGAAACCCGGUGAUCUAGCCAUGGGCAGGUUGAAGGUUGGGUAACACUAACUGGAGGACCGAACCGACUAAUGUUGAAAAAUUAGCGGAUGACUUGUGGCUGGGGGUGAAAGGCCAAUCAAACCGGGAGAUAGCUGGUUCUCCCCGAAAGCUAUUUAGGUAGCGCCUCGUGAAUUCAUCUCCGGGGGUAGAGCACUGUUUCGGCAAGGGGGUCAUCCCGACUUACCAACCCGAUGCAAACUGCGAAUACCGGAGAAUGUUAUCACGGGAGACACACGGCGGGUGCUAACGUCCGUCGUGAAGAGGGAAACAACCCAGACCGCCAGCUAAGGUCCCAAAGUCAUGGUUAAGUGGGAAACGAUGUGGGAAGGCCCAGACAGCCAGGAUGUUGGCUUAGAAGCAGCCAUCAUUUAAAGAAAGCGUAAUAGCUCACUGGUCGAGUCGGCCUGCGCGGAAGAUGUAACGGGGCUAAACCAUGCACCGAAGCUGCGGCAGCGACACUAUGUGUUGUUGGGUAGGGGAGCGUUCUGUAAGCCUGUGAAGGUGUACUGUGAGGUAUGCUGGAGGUAUCAGAAGUGCGAAUGCUGACAUAAGUAACGAUAAAGCGGGUGAAAAGCCCGCUCGCCGGAAGACCAAGGGUUCCUGUCCAACGUUAAUCGGGGCAGGGUGAGUCGACCCCUAAGGCGAGGCCGAAAGGCGUAGUCGAUGGGAAACAGGUUAAUAUUCCUGUACUUGGUGUUACUGCGAAGGGGGGACGGAGAAGGCUAUGUUGGCCGGGCGACGGUUGUCCCGGUUUAAGCGUGUAGGCUGGUUUUCCAGGCAAAUCCGGAAAACUAAGGCUGAGGCGUGAUGACGAGGCACUACGGUGCUGAAGCAACAAAUGCCCUGCUUCCAGGAAAAGCCUCUAAGCAUCAGGUAACAUCAAAUCGUACCCCAAACCGACACAGGUGGUCAGGUAGAGAAUACCAAGGCGCUUGAGAGAACUCGGGUGAAGGAACUAGGCAAAAUGGUGCCGUAACUUCGGGAGAAGGCACGCUGAUAUGUAGGUGAAGUCCCUCGCGGAUGGAGCUGAAAUCAGUCGAAGAUACCAGCUGGCUGCAACUGUUUAUUAAAAACACAGCACUGUGCAAACACGAAAGUGGACGUAUACGGUGUGACGCCUGCCCGGUGCCGGAAGGUUAAUUGAUGGGGUUAGCGGUAACGCGAAGCUCUUGAUCGAAGCCCCGGUAAACGGCGGCCGUAACUAUAACGGUCCUAAGGUAGCGAAAUUCCUUGUCGGGUAAGUUCCGACCUGCACGAAUGGCGUAAUGAUGGCCAGGCUGUCUCCACCCGAGACUCAGUGAAAUUGAACUCGCUGUGAAGAUGCAGUGUACCCGCGGCAAGACGGAAAGACCCCGUGAACCUUUACUAUAGCUUGACACUGAACAUUGAGCCUUGAUGUGUAGGAUAGGUGGGAGGCUUUGAAGUGUGGACGCCAGUCUGCAUGGAGCCGGCCUUGAAAUACCACCCUUUAAUGUUUGAUGUUCUAACGUUGGCCCCUGAUCGGGGUUGCGGACAGUGUCUGGUGGGUAGUUUGACUGGGGCGGUCUCCUCCUAAAGAGUAACGGAGGAGCACGAAGGUUGGCUAAUCCUGGUCGGACAUCAGGAGGUUAGUGCAAUGGCAUAAGCCAGCUUGACUGCGAGCGUGACGGCGCGAGCAGGUGCGAAAGCAGGUCAUAGUGAUCCGGUGGUUCUGAAUGGAAGGGCCAUCGCUCAACGGAUAAAAGGUACUCCGGGGAUAACAGGCUGAUACCGCCCAAGAGUUCAUAUCGACGGCGGUGUUUGGCACCUCGAUGUCGGCUCAUCACAUCCUGGGGCUGAAGUAGGUCCCAAGGGUAUGGCUGUUCGCCAUUUAAAGUGGUACGCGAGCUGGGUUUAGAACGUCGUGAGACAGUUCGGUCCCUAUCUGCCGUGGGCGCUGGAGAACUGAGGGGGGCUGCUCCUAGUACGAGAGGACCGGAGUGGACGCAUCACUGGUGUUCGGGUUGUCAUGCCAAUGGCACUGCCCGGUAGCUAAAUGCGGAAGAGAUAAGUGCUGAAAGCAUCUAAGCACGAAACUUGCCCCGAGAUGAGUUCUCCCUGACUCCUUGAGAGUCCUGAAGGAACGUUGAAGACGACGACGUUGAUAGGCCGGGUGUGUAAGCGCAGCGAUGCGUUGAGCUAACCGGUACUAAUGAACCGUGAGGCUUAACCUUACAACGCCGAAG
rnacentral:rRNA from 1 species